rnacentral:rRNA from 1 species
GACGAACGCUGGCGGCGUGCCUAAUACAUGCAAGUAGAACGCUGAAGGAGGAGCUUGCUUCUCUGGAUGAGUUGCGAACGGGUGAGUAACGCGUAGGUAACCUGCCUGGUAGCGGGGGAUAACUAUUGGAAACGAUAGCUAAUACCGCAUAAUAGUAGAUGUUGCAUGACAUUUGCUUAAAAGGUGCAAUUGCAUCACUACCAGAUGGCCCUGCGUUGUAUUAGCUAGUUGGUGAGGUAACGGCUCACCAAGGCGACGAAACAUAGCCGACCUGAGAGGGGGCACGGCCACACUGGGACGGGGAAACGGCCCAGACCCCUAAGGGAGGCAGCAGUAGGGAAUCUUCGGCAAUGGACGGAAGUCUGACCGAGCAACGCCGCGUGAGUGAAGAAGGUUUUCGGAUCGUAAAGCUCUGUUGUAAGAGAAGAACGAGUGUGAGAGUGGAAAGUUCACACUGUGACGGUAGCUUACCAGAAAGGGACGGCUAACUACGUG